rnacentral:miRNA from 1 species
UACCUCAGAAAACCACAACAGUCUGUUUCAUCCGUAUAGGAAUCAUCAGGUGGUCUAUGAUUCCUAUACGGAUGAAACAGACUGUUGUGGUUUUC